CCCAGACUCCUACGGGAGGCAGCAGUGGGGAAUAUUGCACAAUGGGGGAAACCCUGAUCCAGCGACGCCGCGUGAGUGAAGAAGUAUUUCGGUACGUAAAGCCCUAUCAGCAGGAAAGAAAAUGACGGUACCUGACUAAGAAGCCCCGGCUAACUACGUGCCAGCAGCCGCGGUAAUACGUAGGGGGCAAGCGUUAUCCGGAUUUACUGGGUGUAAAGGGAGCGUAGACGGCAGCGCAAGUCUGGAGUGAAAUGCCGGGGCCCAACCCCGGAACUGCUCUGGAAACUGUGAAGCUGGAGUGCAGGAGAGGUAAGCGGAAUUCCUGGUGUAGCGGUGAAAUGCGUAGAUAUUAGGAGGAACACCAGUGGCGAAGGCGGCUUACUGGACUGUAACUGACGUUGAGGCUCGAAAGCGUGGGGAGCAAACAGGAUUAGAUACCCGGGUACC
rnacentral:rRNA from 1 species